AGAGUUUGAUCCUGGCUCAGAUUGAACGCUGGCGGCAUGCCUUACACAUGCAAGUCGAACGGCAGCACGGACUUCGGUCUGGUGGCGAGUGGCGAACGGGUGAGUAAUGUAUCGGAACGUACCUUUCAGUGGGGGAUAACGUAGCGAAAGUUACGCUAAUACCGCAUAUUCUGUGAGCAGGAAAGCAGGGGAUCGCAAGACCUUGCGCUGAUUGAGCGGCCGAUAUCAGAUUAGCUAGUUGGUGAGGUAAAGGCUCACCAAGGCGACGAUCUGUAGCGGGUCUGAGAGGAUGAUCCGCCACACUGGAACUGAGACACGGUCCAGACUCCUACGGGAGGCAGCAGUGGGGAAUUUUGGACAAUGGGGGCAACCCUGAUCCAGCCAUGCCGCGUGAGCGAAGAAGGCCUUCGGGUUGUAAAGCUCUUUCGGCCGGGAAGAAAUCGCAUGGGUUAAUACCCUGUGCGGAUGACGGUACCGGCAUAAGAAGCACCGGCUAACUACGUGCCAGCAGCCGCGGUAAUACGCAGGGUGCGAGUGUUAAUCGGAAUUACUGGGCGUAAAGCGUGCGCAGGCGGUUUUUUAAGACAGGCGUGAAAUCCCCGGGCUCAACCUGGGAACUGCGCUUGUGACUGGAAGGCUAGAGUAUGGCAGAGGGGGGUGGAAUUCCACGUGUAGCAGUGAAAUGCGUAGAGAUGUGGAGGAACACCAAUGGCGAAGGCAGCCCCCUGGGCCAAUACUGACGCUCAUGCACGAAAGCGUGGGUAGCAAACAGGAUUAGAUACCCUGGUAGUCCACGCCCUAAACGAUGUCAACUAGGUGUUGGGUGGGUAAAACCAUUUAGUACCGGAGCUAACGCGUGAAGUUGACCGCCUGGGGAGUACGGCCGCAAGGUUAAAACUCAAAGGAAUUACGGGGACCCGCACAAGCGGUGGAUGAUGUGGAUUAAUUCGAUGCAACGCGAAAAACCUUACCUACCCUUGACAUGUCCAGGAGCCUGAAGAGAUUUGGGUGUGCCCGAAAGGGAACUGGAACACAGGUGCUGCAUGGCUGUCGUCAGCUCGUGUCGUGAGAUGUUGGGUUAAGUCCCGCAACGAGCGCAACCCUUGUCGUUAAUUGCCAUCAUUUAGUUGGGCACUUUAACGAGACUGCCGGUGACAAACCGGAGGAAGGUGGGGAUGACGUCAAGUCCUCAUGGCCCUUAUGGGUAGGGCUUCACACGUCAUACAAUGGUCGGUACAAAGGGUUGCCAAGCCGCGAGGUGGAGCCAAUCCCAGAAAGCCGAUCGUAGUCCGGAUCGCAGGCUGCAACUCGCCU
rnacentral:rRNA from 1 species